rnacentral:lncRNA from 1 species
CUCCCUCCUCACCUCAUAUUCCAAAACACGCCUCCUUGCAAUUUCUGAUAUUAUCAUCUCCUCUCUAAUUCGUUGCUUUUCAAUCUCUCUCUGAAUUGAUUCAUACAAGUCAUGAGGUUGAAGUAAAGGAUGAUGGUGAGGCUGAGGCUGAGGCUGAGGCUGAGGCUGAGGCUGAGGCUGAGGCUGAGGCUGAGGCUGAGGCUGAGGCUGAGGCUGAGGCUGAGGCUGAGGCUGAGGCUGAGGCUGAGGCUGAGGCUGAGGCUGAGGCUGAGGCUGAGGCUGAGGCUGAGGCUGAGGCUGAGGCUGAGGCUGAGGCUGAGGCUGAGGCUGCGGGUGAGGCUGAGGGUGAAGUUGACUACGGUCUUGCAAGUACUCACAAUGGAAACGACCUGCAAAUGAGCCCGUAUAGCCAGCUGAAACAACAGAGUAAAAUUAUCAAAAAUAUUGACAGUAGCCGAUCAGAAAAUCCCAAGAUAAAAAAUAAUCCAAACUUGAUCGAUAGACAGAGAAAAAAAU